rnacentral:rRNA from 1 species
GAUGAACGCUGGCGGCGUGCCUAAUACAUGCAAGUCGAGCGAACAGACGAGGAGCUUGCUCCUCUGACGUUAGCGGCGGACGGGUGAGUAACACGUGGAUAACCUACCUAUAAGACUGGGAUAAUUUCGGGAAACCGGAGCUAAUACCGGAUAAUAUAUUGAACCGCAUGGUUCAAUAGUGAAAGACGGUUUUGCUGUCACUUAUAGCUGGAUCCGCGCCGCAUUAGCUAGUUGGUAAGGUAACGGCUUACCAAGGCAACGAUGCGUAGCCGACCUGAGAGGGUGAUCGGCCACACUGGAACUGAGACACGGUCCAGACUCCUACGGGAGGCAGCAGUAGGGAAUCUUCCGCAAUGGGCGAAAGCUUGACGGAGCAACGCCGCGUGAGUGAUGAAGGUCUUCGGAUCGUAAAACUCUGUUAUUAGGGAAGAACAAAUGUGUAAGUAACUAUGCACGUCUUGACGGUACCUAAUCAGAAAGCCACGGCUAACUACGUG